GCUUGGGUGGCUCAGUAGGUUAAGCAUCUGACUUCGACUCAGAUCAUGAUCUCACUGCACGUGGGUUUGAUCCCCCCAUCAGCU
rnacentral:tRNA from 1 species